UUAUAAGUUCAAUCUUGACUUUACACUAGCUCUAGUGUUCUUUACAUCACUUUAUGUUGCAAACUCAUGCAAUCACAUUCUUUACAUUUUCAUUACUCUUGCUAACUCUAGCAUUCUCGUUCUUUACUUAUUGCCCCACUUUACUUUAACUUUACACGUUGUCACUUUCUUCAUUCUUUACAUCACUCUAGUUCUUUACAUCACACUAACUCUAGUGUCAUUUCACAUUA
rnacentral:lncRNA from 1 species